GAUGAACGCUGGCGGCGUGCCUAAUACAUGCAAGUCGAGCGAACGGACGAGAAGCUUGCUUCUCUGAUGUUAGCGGCGGACGGGUGAGUAACACGUGGAUAACCUACCUAUAAGACUGGGAUAACUUCGGGAAACCGGAGCUAAUACCGGAUGAUAUUUUGAACCGCAUGGUUCAAAAGUGAAAGACGGUCUUGCUGUCACUUAUAGAUGGAUCCGCGCUGCAUUAGCUAGUUGGUAAGGUAACGGCUUACCAAGGCAACGAUGCAUAGCCGACCUGAGAGGGUGAUCGGCCACACUGGAACUGAGACACGGUCCAGACUCCUACGGGAGGCAGCAGUAGGGAAUCUUCCGCAAUGGGCGAAAGCCUGACGGAGCAACGCCGCGUGAGGGAUGAAGGUCUUCGGAUCGUAAAACUCUGUUAUUAGGGAAGAACAUAUGUGUAAGUAACUGUGCACAUCUUGACGGUACCUAAUCAGAAAGCCACGGCUAACUACGUG
rnacentral:rRNA from 1 species